rnacentral:tRNA from 1 species
CAUUAAAUGGCUGAAAGUAAGUGAUGGUCUCUUAAACCAAUUUAUAGUAGCUAACGAUUAUUUUUAAUGA